UUAAGAUAUUAAAUUUGUUGUCAGUAUGAAGAUGAUUUUGUGGUUUCAACAUCAAGAAAUAAAUGUAUGUUUGCAGGUAUCAAGAAGUUGGUGGGAUGGGUUAGAGAUGCCAUGGCAUUAGAGUGGAAAGGUAUCUAUCAGAAUGCAACUUCACCUUGAGGUAGUAACACAGAAGUUCAAGGACUGGACAUCAUAAUAAGGUAUCUGAGUGAAGAUUAAACACUAGAGGAAGGAAUUGAACUCACAAGGCAGGUGGUGGAACCACUGAGCUAAAUCCCCGGCCCUAUGCCAGCUUUCUUUCAAGGAACUCAACAAUUGUCAGAGGACACUGGUGCCUAAGUUAGGUAUAGCUUGUCCCUUGCCAGCCAGGAAGGUUUUCAAAGAAACAAAGGCCAAGGUAGCCAGAGAGGGGACAUGUCAUCCUGAAUAGCUUUUACAACUAGAGCCAAUAGAAAUGGUGAGGCUUCUGUGGUCUGGAGUCAGAGGGCUCAAAUUCACUAACUGGGCAUCUGUGCGCUCUGGGACACACAUCUGUCUCAUUUUGUGGCUGAUAAUGACCCCCCUCUGAAAAUGAAACCUGUACUGAAUCACUAUUUGAAGUUCUGCAGUGAAUGAAGUCUCUUGAAGAUCGCACACUCUGUGAAUGUCACUUCCUAUUGCGAUUGAGGAACAGGGUUUUAGAAAUCUAAAUAGCACGUGUUUCAGGAGAGGAAAUGGAAAUUGCCCAUCUCUGAAGAACUGGAAACUACCAUGUGCGACUUCUACCACCUUCUGUUGACCACAGUGGUCACAGGGCCUCCCAAGUUUCCAAGGACGAGCUCUCAGAGCCCCAGCACCUGAUGGAAUAAUGUUAAAUGGUGAUCAUUCUUAAUGCUCCACUAUAACCUGCAGAAAAGCCACUCUCUUUCCAGUGACGGUGAUGGAAACAGUAUGGAGUAGCCGUCCAGCACCUAGGCUCUGCUGACUUCAGGAGGUGGGAUUUUGAUUGCACUAUUUACCUGCUGUGUGCUCUGGUGAAAUUCAACUUCCUGUGCCUGUUCCCUCAUUUAAAAAAAGAGAUAGAGAGAGCCUGGGAAGCCUUGGAAUGGACUCUGUGGUGCACUGAGCUGCUAUUUGGCCUCUUGGUUCAGGUAGGUCUGAACUUUGUCAAUAUGUACAGAUGUAGUCCUUUUCCUUCCAAGGUGGGCUCUUGGGUCAGGCUCUGAAAUUAGGCUUGUCAUCUAUGGACUCAACCAGAUUGAAC
rnacentral:lncRNA from 1 species